UGUCCAGACUCCUACGGGAGGCAGCAGUGGGGAAUAUUGCACAAUGGUCGCAAGCCUGAUGCAGCCAUGCCGCGUGUAUGAAGAAGGCCUUCUGGUUGUAAAGUACUUUCAGCGGGUAGGAAGGCGAUAAGGUUAAUAACCUUGUUGAUUGACGUUACCCGCAGAAGAAGCACCGGCUAACUCCGUGCCAGCAGCCGCGUUAAUACGGAGGGUGCAAGCGUUAAUCGGAAUUACUGGGCGUAAAGCGCACGCAGGCGGUCUGUCAAGUCGGAUGUGAAAUCACCGGGCUCAACCUGGGAACUGCAUUCGAAACUGGCAGGCUGGAGUCUUGUAGAGGGGGGUAGAAUUCCAGGUGUAGCGGUGAAAUGCGUAGAGAUCUGGAGGAAUACCGGUGGCGAAGGCGGCCCCCUGGACAAAGACCGACGCUCAGGUGCGAAAGCGUGGGGAGCAAACAGGAUUAGAUACCCCGGUAC
rnacentral:rRNA from 1 species